AUUGAACGCUGGCGGCAGGCUUAACACAUGCAAGUCGAGCGGGGGAAGGUAGCUUGCUACCGGACCUAGCGGCGGACGGGUGAGUAAUGCUUAGGAAUCUGCCUAUUAGUGGGGGACAACAUCUCGAAAGGGAUGCUAAUACCGCAUACGUCCUACGGGAGAAAGCAGGGGAUCUUCGGACCUUGCGCUAAUAGAUGAGCCUAAGUCGGAUUAGCUAGUUGGUGGGGUAAAGGCCUACCAAGGCGACGAUCUGUAGCGGGUCUGAGAGGAUGAUCCGCCACACUGGGACUGAGACACGGCCCAGACUCCUACGGGAGGCAGCAGUGGGGAAUAUUGGACAAUGGGGGGCACCCUGAUCCAGCCAUGCCGCGUGUGUGAAGAAGGCCUUAUGGUUGUAAAGCACUUUAAGCGAGGAGGAGGCUACUCUAGUUAAUACCUAGGGAUAGUGGACGUUACUCGCAGAAUAUGCACCGGCUAACUCUGUGCCAGCCGCCGCGGUAA
rnacentral:rRNA from 1 species